rnacentral:rRNA from 1 species
CGGGUCGUUUAAAGCCAUUAUGUCAACAUCCUAAGCUCGAACGUACCCGAAGGUCGGCCAUAAAGGCGAGCUGCAGUCCUCAGUCUCACCCAGUGUAUGUGACAAUAGGCUAUAACACUUCCGGAGAAGCUACAUUCCUACUGCCUUUAUCCACCGGACAAAACUGAUGUUGACCCGUUCAAAGGAAGUAGACCAGCAGAACUGGCUGAAUCCAAAGAACACGACUGACUUCAAUCGUUUCCCUUUCAACAAUUUCACGUACUGUUUAACUCUCUUUCCAAAGUGCUUUUCAUCUUUCCCUCACGGUACUUGUUCGCUAUCGGUCUCUCGCCAAUAUUUAGCUUUAGAUGGAAUUCACCACCCAUUUUGAGCUGCAUUCCCAAACAACUCGACUCGUAGAAGACGUAUCACAGAGCACCGGUGGUCGUGUUAAGUACGGGAUUAUCACCCUCUUUGAUACUCCUUUCCAGGAGACUUGGACACGGUCCGGCACGGAAAACGCCUCUAUAGAUUACAACUCGGACAAUCGAAGACUGCCAGAUUUCAAAUUUGAGCUCUUCCCGCUUCACUCGCCGUUACUAGGGGAAUCCUUGUUAGUUUCUUUUCCUCCGC